AUUGGAUUGGUGGCACAUUAUAUACAAAGCUAUCGCUGAAUGUGUUGUUCACUGGUGGAGGAUCAUAGUUGAAGUUAUAAUUCAAUGUGUUGUUCAUUGUUGGAGGAUCAUAGACAAAGUUAUUCAAUGUCAGAGGAGGAGGAUAAUAAGACCCAAAACCAUUCUCGUUUUCUUCAAAAAUCAUCAAAGAAUUAUCAUACUCUGAAGGCUGUGCAGUGGAAUCAUCAGCUUUUGAAAUUUCUGUUUUUGAAUUUAUAGUAGUCCCUCCAUCUUCA
rnacentral:misc_RNA from 1 species